CCUACGGGAGGCAGCAGUGGGGAAUCUUGCGCAAUGGGCGAAAGCCUGACGCAGCCAUGCCGCGUGAAUGAUGAAGGUCUUAGGAUUGUAAAAUUCUUUCACCGGGGACGAUAAUGACGGUACCCGGAGAAGAAGCCCCGGCUAACUUCGUGCCAGCAGCCGCGGUAAUACGAAGGGGGCUAGCGUUGCUCGGAAUUACUGGGCGUAAAGGGAGCGUAGGCGGACAUUUAAGUCAGGGGUGAAAUCCCAGAGCUCAACUCUGGAACUGCCUUUGAUACUGGGUGUCUUGAGUGUGAUAGAGGUAUGUGGAACUCCGAGUGUAGAGGUGAAAUUCGUAGAUAUUCGGAAGAACACCAGUGGCGAAGGCGACAUACUGGAUCAUUACUGACGCUGAGGCUCGAAAGCGUGGGGAGCAAACAGGAUUAGAUACCCUGGUAGUCCACGCCGUAAACGAUGAUUGCUAGUUGUUGGGAUGUUUACAUCUCGGUGACGNAGCUACGCAUAGUACANCCGCCGUGGGAGGUACGGUCGCGAGAAGUUAAACGUUAAAGUAAGUUAGUUAGUACGUUGUUAGAGAGCGACGACGACGACGACGGAGGAGGAG
rnacentral:rRNA from 1 species